rfam:Agrilus planipennis Contig40538, whole genome shotgun sequence.
UACUUAUGAUGAUUUAAAACUCUUGGUCUGUGUUUCUGAUAUUUUUUAUGACAGAUAUAGAAUAUUCUGAAUUU